AAACUGCGAUAAGUAGUGUGAAUUGCAUUUAGUGAAUCAUCGAAUCUUUGAACGCACCUUGCACUCACUGGUAUUCCGGUGAGUACGCCUGUUUCAGUAUCAUUGAAAACACACAAUCAAAACAUUUUCUUUGGUUUGAUUGGCUUUGGGUCUAUCAAAAAGUUUGGCUUGUUUCUUACAAGCCAAGCGGCCUGAAAUAUAUUGUCUGGCUAAUUGCAUCGUUGAUGAUCGCUAUUAGACUUUGGCUUUUUUAAAUGAACUGGAGGUUGAUUAACCAGUUUUAGCUUUAGUCAAAUGGUCAUUGUAAAAAAAAUCUCGAUCUUGGCUAGGUGUUUAUAGCCGAAAAUUUUUUUUUGGCUAUAACCGAAACCAAUAUAAUCACAUUUAGUUAUCGAUCUGAAAUCAGGUGGGACUACCCACUGAACUUAAGC
rnacentral:misc_RNA from 1 species